rnacentral:rRNA from 1 species
CCUACGGGAGGCAGCAGUAAGGAAUAUUGGUCAAUGGACGAAAGUCUGAACCAGCCAUGCCGCGUGAAGGAUUAAGGCCCUCUGGGUUGUAAACUUCUUUUAUCUGGGACGAAAAAAGGGUAUUCUUACUCACUUGACGGUACCAGAGGAAUAAGCACCGGCUAACUCCGUGCCAGCAGCCGCGGUAAUACGGAGGGUGCAAGCGUUAUCCGGAUUUACUGGGUUUAAAGGGUGCGUAGGUGGGCUUGUAAGUCAGUGGUGAAAUCUCCGGGCUUAACCCGGAAACUGCCAUUGAUACUAUAGGUCUUGAAUUAUCUGGAGGUAAGCGGAAUAUGUCAUGUAGCGGUGAAAUGCUUAGAUAUGACAUAGAACACCAAUUGCGAAGGCAGCUUACUACGGAUAUAUUGACACUGAGGCACGAAAGCGUGGGGAUCAAACAGGAUUAGAUACCCUGGUAGUCCACGCCCUAAACGAUGGAUACUCGACAUCAGCGAUACACUGUUGGUGUNUGAGCGAAGANAUAUAUCCNCCNGAGUAGANCGCAGAUAGAACGUACAAUAGAGUAGACGCGUGAGAGUAGCGACGACGACGACGAGGGAGGAGG